rnacentral:lncRNA from 1 species
AUAACUUCACCAUAUUCUCUCUUUUGAUGGUGUGUUAUAAAUUAGUAACUAUCCUUCCAUCCAAAUUUGCAUAUACACACACAAUAAAUCAUACCAUGAAUAUAUUAUAUAAACUAGGCCAACCAUAGAAAUGUUUGGAAUCGUUAUUAAAAGAUACAAAUAUAAUAUGAUUUACAUUAUUAAUAGAAAAAGAUACAAAUAAAUUUGAUGAUUAUAUAUCCUUUAAAGGAAAAUACACAAAAGGAGUUUUCAAGGUUCAUCCUUGAACUUAUUUGGAGGAUGGUAGUUUCCAUUCCAACCUCCAUCCAACAGUACUUGAUUAUAUGAUCUCUUCUCCUUCUCCUUCUCCUUCACCUCCACUCCAUUCAAACCUAAGAUUACUAAUACAAUUAAUAAUAAUUUUAAGCUAAAGUAUAAAAAUCUACCACUUCACCCUUUAAUUUGUUAAAACAACAUAUUCAUUUUUGUUGGACCCUUUUCAUGAAUAUUAUUUAGAAAAAGAAUUAUCAAACUGAAAAAUUGACUCCCUAGAAUUGAGUUUGAAUGAAAAUUGAGAUCAAUGAUAACAUUGAACAACAACCACACACAUCUUUUUCAAGUUGACCUCUUUUUCAUUUCAUCUAAAUUUCUAAGUGAUGGAUUUCUGUUAGUUCAAGGGGUAGCUAGAAGCAUUUAUGACAACUAAAAAGUCUAAGGGUAUUAUUUCAACUUAGGAAUAAAUUGUAUUUUUAAAUAUAAAAAAAUGUCAUUUCUUUUAUUAAAUUUGGCCAGAAGUUUAAGAAGAUUAUUGGAAUUAUUUAAUUCUGUGUAUAAUAAGUUUCAUAACUCCAAUAUUAUAUUAUGAUAUCGUCAUGACAUCAUUUAUAUGGAAAGUUUAUGAAUGGGUAAAAUAAAAAGUAUUUAAAAUAUUUUUUUAUAUAAAAAAUUAUAAAAAACUAAAAAAUCGUUUGAAUCUGGAUAUUAUUUCAUACUGUAGAUAUUAAAUAUAUAAAAUUUAAAUGUAUGAAAAUUAAACAUAUCAAAUAAUAAAUAUAUGUACGUAUUUGGGUGUGUGAAGUAUAAUUGAUGUGGAGAAGUUAAAAGAUACAUGUUAGAAUAUGGAGAUUUAAUUAAUAUGUGCAAAUUAAAUGUUUGUGUUUGUUCAUUAAUUUCGUACAUAUAUAAAAACUAAAAUUAAAUUAUGAAAUACAAAAUUUUCUAAGCUGAACUUAUCUCAACUUGUUAGUGUAAUUUAAUUAUGAUACCUUUUCAAGUAUAUAUAUAUAUAAUAAUUUUAAAACAACAUUAAUAAUAUUUUUAUAUUUUAAUUAAUUAAAAUCAUUUUGGGAGUAAUAAUAUAAUGGUUUGUUCCCUAAACUCGAUUAAUAUGUUCCAAAUUAAUAUUAAAAUUUAAAAUAGUAAAUACAACAAAAAAGAAUAUAAGAAAAAAUCCAAACUAGCAUUCAAUAUUAUUGCCUCUCAUUAAUUUAAAAACAAUAUAUUAACUAUUUUACAAAAGUGAUAGGUUUGGAAAUUAAAAGGGUCCCUCCUUCGCAACCCCAAAUAGAAAUCACAAUAUCACAUCAUUGGAAGGGAUAAUAGAAACCCACAUCCCAAGUACUUUCUUUUUAUCACUAAUACCUACAAUUUACAUUAAAAUUUAAAUCGAUUAAACCUUAUUUUCUUUUAUUUGGUGGUUAUAUGAUAGAAGUCUAUCAAUAUUUAUCAUUACUAUAUUUUAUAGAUACAUUUCACAUUUUUACGGUCAAUAAUAAUUCUUCCUUUUAAAACUUAAAAGUUACAAAAUUAUAAUGGUAAGAAAAAACAUAAUCACUUUAUGGUUGCGCGUGAAUAAAACAUGCCUAAUAUUUUUUCAAACUAUAAAUCAUAUUAUCUUGGAAUGAGAUAAUAUAUUGUAUUUUAACUAUAAAUUCAUAUAAUAUUUAUUAUCUAAUUAGUCCUAUACAAAAUUAUAAAUUUAAUUUUCUAAUUGUUGGUCUAUUCAAAACUUAGAAGGAUUCAGAGGAUCUGACUAAAAAUCUUCUCUCCAUUUUACUCCUUAUCUAGAAUAGAGGUGUAAGAGCAACUCGAAUAAUUCGGAUUAUAAGGAUUUGAUACUCACAAAUGAUAAAGAAGAAGGACAACACGUGUUUCCCUGUGAUUCCUUUUUUACGAAGUAAGAGUAAAAAAAAUGCACUAUUAAUUUACUGUUAUUAUUAAUUUAAUAAAUGGAAAACUAAAAGCCACUUGGUCAAUGACGUCACUCUUUUUCACGCCUUUUCAUUUCUCUUUUGUCAUCCUCGAUGCCUCUCUCUAUCAAUCUCGCCGUGCCUCUUUAGUUCUCAUCUCUUUUAGUCUCUCAUCGUCUCCUUCUCAUCUCUUGAACUCUUCACACACGCCUCGUCUCUACCUCUCAUCUCCAUCGUUCACCAUCUCCUCAGUCUCGAACGUUCCAAUGUUAGUGAUUAUUUAUUUUGAGUUUUUUUCUUUCAUUGAAAAUUUAGUAGGUCUAGUUUUUUUUAGUAAAUCUCUAGUCUUAUUAAAAUAUAUCAUUAUAAAUAUAUUUUAAUAAGAAGUUAAAAGAUCUUAUUUAAAUACCUUUUCCAAAGAAAAAGAUAAAAGAUAUUCCUCAUAUUUAAAAUAUCUUAUUGUAAAGAAAAUUUUCUUUAUUGGCUCUUCAAAAAGGAGAAGUUUUCUGAAUGUAAAAUCCAAUCUUUAUAGCUAUCUUCAUAGCUGAUGUUCAGAAGUUUAUAUUUUUUUGUGAAGAAUCUGUACGAAGGUAAACCGACUGUUACCUUCUUUAUUUUAUGAAGAAUUCUUGAUAUCUUCUUUAGUGGUUUCAGUGUAUAUGAGAUAAGAGAUUUAAAGACGAUCUUGAACAUUUGAUAAAGUCUUUAAAUUGUGAAGCUUCUCGCAAGUUUUUGUGUGCGUAUCACUAGAUUUUUAUUCGAAAAAAUUCGUGUUAUCAAAGAAAGUUUUUGAAGGUAUCUCAGUUACCUUAUGCAGUACAACAGAUUAUUAAAAAUCGUCAAGUGAUUUAGAAAUAUGAAUAAAAACUGAGAUAAUUGUACUACAAUCACUGAAUUCAGGGGAGUCUGAUCAAUUUGUCUUCGAGGAUAUUCACAAUUACCUUAAGAGGGAGUCUGAGUUUAUUUUAAGUUAUAGUGAUAACUUAUCAAAGUAGCUUUAGAUUUAAGUUACCGACUUUUAAAAUUCAAUAAUAUUUCUUAUUUGAGCAAAAAAGCUCCCCAGAUGUAGGUUGUAUUUGUCGAACUCGGUUAUUAAAGUCUUAUGUGUUAUUUGUUCGCUUUAUUACGUUAGUUAUUCCUGCAGUUAGUCAUAGCGGGAGGAUAUUAUUUAUCAUCUCACCUAUUUUUCAAAAUGGAAUGAUGAAAUUAGAAAAGGAAAGCAAGAAUUUUACAAUCCGACAAUCGAGCUCAUAUUUUAAGGGUUGGGUUGGGAAUACUCUAUUUGGGUUAUUUGUGUUGGCAAUCCAACCUGUCUACAUACCUCUAAUCUUGAGUGCAUGGUUUUCUAUGGUUGUGUAUGUUGAUGCAAAUUUAUAGUUUGUUUGUUUUGAUUAUUUUGUCAUGAAAUUCAUAAUAUUCCAUUUGUUUCUAAAAUAGAAUUCAAUAUUAAUGGAAAAGAAUGAAAAUGAGACAUUAUAAGACAGAAGUUUGAAUAAUACGACUCCCUGUUAUGAUGUCAUAUAUAUUAAAUUAUUCAUUUACCCAAAUUAAACUUAGCAUAGUUUAAUUAUAUUAACAUGCACAUGAACGAAGUAAUGAUCUAAAAGAACUAUCAUGAGAAGAGAAAACUUACGAGCUGUGUCAGCCAUUAUAUUGAGUUCCCUAGAAGAAACGUUGAAAGCAAGUAGGAGAAGCAAAGCAAUGAAGACAAUAAUCUUCCAAGCACCAAAAAAUGCUUUUCUGGAAGCCAUUUUUGUCUGCAAAAACCUCAAGCCUUUGUUAUAUAUUAAAAGUAUAGAGAGAUACUUUAAUUAUUGAACUUAGUAUAGAAGAGACUUCAGUUUCUUAGUGUAUUAUAAACCCAACAAAGGCUUGUAUAUAUAAUCUUCUCUUCAUUGCAAG